GAUAUAAUGAAACAACAUUGUAGCGAGGAAAGCAUUUAGGGGAGCCCAGGGCUACAUACACAGUGCCUGGGAAGGGGGCAGAGAGAGAAGGAAACUGCGGGGCAUCCUUCUGCGCACAGGAGCCCAGCUCCGUCCAGGAGUGAGAGCGGACUUGGAAAAGAGAGGAGGGGGCCCUCUGUUCCCCUCCCACCCCUCUCAGGCCAGGAGGAAGAACAACUUUUAAUCAGCGCAGCUGGGAUUGCACCUGUCUCUAGAGUCCCCACCAUCCAAAGAAAGAGGAAAUUAUAUGAAAGAACAGAUCUGGAAACUACCUGGUUUUAUUUUUAUUUUUAUUUUUCUUCCACUUUGCUGGGGGUGGGGGGGAGUCGCGGUGCGGGGAAGGCGAGAAAGCUUAGCCAGCACAUGGAUCAUCUUAAGGUAAGUUAUUUAUAGUCCUUAAAAGCGCCUCAAGAGAGAUUUGUUUUGGGAGAUGUAGUGUGUGUAUGCGGAGGGGGGGGGGGGGUUCGUCCUAAAUUUUGCAUCCGGAUAUUUAAAUGAGGAAGGGUGUCAUUUCACUGUGGCAUAGUUUUAAUGUGAGUUUUGGUUCGGGGUGGGAUUGUUUCGCAUGUUAGUCUCCUUUUAACUUCUUUUCUCUGUCUCCGUACCCUGGGCCAGGGUCGGGAGCCAUGGGGCCAGGCGUUUGGGUAAGGGGGGGAGGUGGGAAUUUAAAAAUAAAGGCGAUUGCGCCAUGUUUGUGUUGCUAAGAGGAGGGCUGUGUGUGUGUGUGUGUGGCAUGGCUGCAUGCCACAUGGCUUCUCUGGAGCGGCCGGGUUGUGCGUGUGUUUUUCCCCCUCAGUGUCCGCAUUCCAGCUAAUGUUGCGCAGAUAAAAUUCGAACUUGAGGUAAACAGAAGAGGAAAGGAGGGGGCGGGGUGGGGGGGGAGGCUGUUUCCAUCCUGGCAUCCCACCUCUCCGGUUCGCAGAUAAGAUCCACAGCGGUCACACAAUCCCCCUUCCCACCUCCUUUGCCGCCAGCCAAAAAAAAAAAAAAAAAAAAAAAAUUUAGAGGAGCGGGACUGCAAACCAUAACAAAUCCCCCCUCCCCUCUGCAGCUGGGGGAGGGCGGAGCGCCUUUUUAUCUCCAAAACGUCACAUUCCAAAUCCAUAACAACACAGCCCCCCACCCACGCACACACCUUCGCCACCAGCGUAUAGGGAAGGUGCCAUUCCCCUUCGCAGGCUCGCAGCAUAGCGGUGCCCACUUGCUUGCCCCAGGAAAACAUCACGCAGAGUAGGUUGGAGCAGACAUGGAUCCCCAGUGAGUGCCCCACCUCAUCCAGCCUUGUUACUCUCAGGCACCCAGCGGGCUCAGAGCCUCCCCCAAAUCAGGGUGGAGUGGGUGGCUUUUCCUAAACAGGGGGGCAUGUUUCCCCCCUUAGUAAAGGUACAAGGACUAGAUUAUUACAGUGCUGAGCAUCUGGUUGUUGGUCGGUGCUGGAGCUCCCUGUGCAUGUGAGCGCAACGGAAAGAAAACUGAGACUGAGACACACUGAAACAGCAUAAUCAAAGAAUUGAAACAUGAGACUGUGAGCAAACACAACUGGAAGCAGUGGGCAUUGUGAAAAAGGAGGAUUUUCCUGAAUGUAUCUUUAAUUAUUCAGAAGACAUAUGUGAUCAUGUGAAUGUGGCUAGCAGAAGAGAGGUGGCUCUAGUGCAUGUUGCAUUCUGGAUUUGUUUUGUGCCUGCGAGGAGUUGAAUUCCUGAGCACUGGAGAAGAUCUAACCAUAUUGGCACUGGCUCUGCUCAUGACAGUACAGUGGGGCAGGUAAGUGCCAAGAAGGAACUGGGAGGCUCUAACUUUUCCAAGGCUCAGGAUUAUGCACUGAAGAAGAAUAUUUUAGAAGCUAAAGCUAGAGGUCAGAACAUGCUGGUCAGAAGGUACCAACCUUGUGAGAAUAUCCUGAGUGUGCCAGAAGGAGAGCAUAUUGCACAGGAGGGAAACCUGUCUACAAAUUGCUACGAACUGAAAGGGUCUCUACAUUCCUGAUUAGACUUCAGAAAACAUGCCCCAGAGUAAAUCCAAGUCGGCUUGUCUCUCAAGAGGAUGCUUGUUAAUGCCAAAUGAUACCUUCUGCUUACACAGCAAUACUUCUACCAGGUUAUAUGGGGAUGGGAGCCAAUCUACAGGCAAGGGCCAGCUGCGCCAGUGACCCAUGCCUCAGACAAGUCCUCUGAGAUCCAUGGGUUGUGUGUCAAACCAGCUACUUCCUUCACAGUCGGAUGUGCAGACUCCAUAUAUCCCCAGUUGAAAGAGCAAUGGCAAACUCUCCAACUUACCAGUCACCAGUGUGAAUUAUUCAUGGGUUGGGGACCCUGAGUAUAAAGAGGAGCAGUACACAUAUUCAAAACACAAAGGUAAUAGAUAAAAUUGUUACAUUCUGUAUGUGACCACUAGGGGAAAAGAGGAUUUCAACUCACACCACAAACAAGAAUAAAAGCUCAAUCAGCUUUAGAUGCUUUCUGAAUGCUGAGAUUGAGCCUUAAUGUCUGUAAUGAAUUGUUCCAAAAGCACAGAGAGAAAGUUGUACACACUGGAGACUAAUUUUCAUUUGUGCUGCGUACCCGCAGCUCCUUUUGAUGUCAGUUUGAGUAAUAUUUUGAAUAAUUAGCAGCUCUUACAAUCAGGUCUUUAGGGUUAAAUAUUCUGAGACUUUUUUGCAGACCUGAAAUCCAUAUACAUUGUGUUUACAUAACAGGUAAAUUGGAAAUUUGAUUAGGGGAAAACCUCGGCCCAUAAUGUAGGGCUGUUUUUUGGAAGCAGGGUUUUGCUAGUUCCUAAAGAUUUCUCAGACUCCUUAAGUGAUAACUGUUUUGUACACUUACAUGUAGGACAUGAGAGGCAAGGAGAUUGUAUGAGUCUAGAAAUUUUUAACAUGGUUUGUCAUGUCAUUCUAAUCCCCAGAAAUGACUUUUAGCUUUAUUACCAAAACAUGUUUUUCUUUCUGACUAGUCAUAUAGACCCAGACCCUGAUCUCCUGCUGCAUGCUGUGGUGAUCUUGAUUGCUGCUUGCUGUUUACCCUAAUUAACUUACGUAACCACGUGUAAAAUGGUAGAAUUGUUCAAGUAACAAAAACAAAGAAAAGUCUUCUGACCCAACCCCUGAAGUUUUGCUUUAAGUUAGGACUAAGUAAAACCUGAGUAGUGAAACCCUGAUUUGGCCCAUUGGCUUUCAUGGAAGUUGAAGAUGCUCUGUUCAUUGUGAAAUGAAACUCUCAUCCUUACUCUAGUUUCAUUCCCAGUGACUUGCCUGAGGAGUGGCUGUACAAUUUGGCCCUGACGGUGUGAAAUUGUUUCACCUGCCACUGUAAAUUUUAUUGCUAUGAUUUAUUUCUUUACUAAUUUUAAAGAAAGACUAAGCUUUGUCUCAGUUUUCUCAGACAUACCUCACCAGCAACAGAUAUGUCAUCUUGGUGAGAGGUAAGGUGGCUGUGUGGCUGCCUCACCCCAUGAAUCAUAAAAAUCUUGCUCCCACAUUAAGAAUAGAAUGUUCCCCUGUCAAUGCUCACUUAGCCUAGCAAAUUAAAAAUACUGCCUCACACUUGUUUUCUGACUGAAGGAAAAAUAAUAACAGUUUGCACAGUUGGUGAACUUUCUUAUUAGUCAGAGGGUAUUAAGCAAGUGGUGGUGAAAGUGAUGGGAAUGGAUGGCUCAGGGAACUGAUAAAGGGAUAUGGAACCUUUUUAUCUCUAGUGGUUUGAAUUCAGACCAAAUACAAAGUUACUGAGAAUUGUUAGUGUCAGAAGGUUUUUGUGAAAUGACUCCAUGGUCUCAGUUUGUGUCAUAGUGGACAGAUUGGCAUCACAGAACAAACACUCCAGUUAGCAUUAAUUGAUAUCUCAGUGGAAGGUUAUGUUCACGAUGGUCCCGGAGACUGAGGGCUUGUCUACACUUACUGGAGCAUCCAUGAGUGGUGUUCGAUGCAUCAGCAGUGGAUUUAGCUUGUCUAGUGAAGACUCGCUACAUCAAUUGCAGAUCACUCUCUCCCGACGACUCCUGUACUCCACCAGAUCGAGAAGAGUAGGGGGAAUCAGCAGGAGGGCGUCUCUCAGCGUUGCGUAGUGUGGACCCCGCAUUAAGCAGAUCUAAGCGAUGUCAAUUUUAGUUACGCUAUUCAUGUAACUCAAAUUGCGUAGUUUAGAUCGAAUUUCCACUGUAGUGUAGACAAUGCCUAAGAGUAUAAGGAUUCUGCCUGCAGGUCAAGGAUGAGAUAUACUGGUGGGGCAUUGCGUGGAAAACUCAUGCUACCACUUCCUAUGUUGUAUCUGUUCUGUUAAUAGAGGACUUCUCCAGGGAAUCUGACAUCUUUAACCAGUUCCACAUUUCAAACAAAAUUGAAGUAAAAAAAAGUUAAAAUAAUUUGAACAAUUUGUCUGACAUGAAGUAUUUAAAGGCUAUUGUCUGAAAAUUAUAGGCUGACUUGUUCUUUCACAGUCUCAUGGGUGGAUCCACUAAAGCUGUCAUACGUAAAGCUCCAGCAAAGUACAUUUACACAUCUCCUAUUAGGGAAGUGUAUGAAAAGGAAGUAAUAAAACUCAUUUUUUAGGAAUUUCCAAUACGGAAAUGUUACUCCUUUUGGGAAAGUUUUCCAAGUCACUACCAGUGAAAGUUCUCUAUGAUUAAUCUUGGAGUCACAUUUUAUAAUGCACGCAAUUGUUGUUUGCAUUAGCAAAAAUAAACGGAUGGGUCAUAUUUUAUUUUGAACUUUUUACCACAGGCAUUCUUUUACAAGAGGUAGAAGGGAUGCCUCACUAUAGAGACCUUGAAUGCUUCUGACUGGCUAGUCAUUUAUCUAAUCACAUGUAAAUUAGUGGAAUAGUUCAGCAACAAAAACAAAACAGUUUUAGGCCCUAAUCCUGGAUUGAUUUAAGCAUGUGCAUAAUUUUACUCAUGUGAAUAAUCCCACAAGUCAAAUAAAGUUAUGUACAUGCUAAUGUCUCUUAAGAACAGGGCCUACAUCAGCAAAUCUCCUUCUUAGCAUUUACUCUUGAAGAUUAAAGAAUAGUGUUUACACCAAGAAAAAACAUAACCAGGAAGACUCCCCAUCUUGAGGUUUUACCUAGUUCUGUGAAUCAUGAGUGUGAACUUUCCCUCUUCUGACUCCCAAACAGCUGCUUUAAAGUCCUUCCACCAGACCUUUUCGUUUCCUAUAUGCCCUUAAAUGUCUUUUAACCCCUGACAAGUAUUCUCUUGCUGUUUUUCCUGGAUUUGAUGCUGUGAAAGGAGGCAAGUCAUUUCUUGAUAGACUGGGGGUUAGCUCCUCUCCGCUUACGUGGACGCUUAGUUAUUAGAGCAUAUCAUGGGCCAGCAUCUCUUUUAUCUGAUUAUCUCAUGAUAAUUGUUCUGUACUUUUAUUACAUGUUUGAAUUUACAGCCUUUAUUUGAGAAUGUUUUUCAUUAUCGAUGCUCUGUAAAUAUUCAGAGUUACUGUUACAACAUUUGAAAGAUUUUUUUUCUUCAAAUAAUUUAAUUUACAUGUGCAAACAUAGUUAACAGAAUAACACCCAAAUCCUGCUGUCUGAAUAACACUUCCUCUGUGGGUUACACCUACUGAUAAGCUCAACUACAUGAAGAGAGCCUCCUCUUUUAAGCCCCAUCAACAUUUUACUAUAUAUGUCACCAUAUUGACUUGGAUUUGUCUGCAUGGACAAGAUGUAAUAAUCAGUGUCAUAAUCAUGUUAUGUCAAAAGCCUGUUACCUUUUCCUUAUACACAAUGUGAUUCUGUUGACAUAUGAUCUAAGCUCUUCUCCCAGGUCUUUUGGAAUUCCUCUUGGAUGGCGAGGUGUUCCGUCUUUAAGGAUUAUCCCUCUUAGGAGUUGUCCAUACUAGGUGCAGAGUCAUGCUAGUUACAGCACAGAUGUAACUAACUAGAUAGUUAGCAUGGUUCCCUGACCAGUGUGAAGAGGGAGUUUUGUCUGAAAGCCUUGGAUUGUUUCUUUGUGGCCCUGGGUUGGUCCAUUGUAGAUCCUGUCCAUACUUAUGUCCCUUCCACACUAUGAAAGUGCUGUUUUGUGAGACCUGGUUACAGCACGGUACUGCCAGAAGCAGUUAAAACUCAGUUCAGCGUUUCAGCAUAGAAGGGACCAAAUUAUGUUUUAGCUCUGUUAAUGAAUUGUGCCAUAGCCUAGCAAGGCCCAAGGCUCAGUAACAUGCUUUGAGAACACCUGUCUGUAGGGUAAAAUCACUGUAUUUAAACUGUGUUAACUGUUAGCAUUUUAUAUCCAGGCCCAGCACACAUGGUAGAUUUGGGAGCAGAACCCUGGGAGCAAUCUAUAACCAUGUUUAAAUCUAGUUGUUCCUAGCAAGGUUAUGUUAUGGGUUCUGUGCUUUUUACAAACAGGCACUUUUUUGUCUGCAAACCUUGUACUAAAAUUGUUCCUACGCUAUAACCUUUCACAGAGUUGAUAACCAGGUAGUGGCAUGGUUUGCUCUAAACAUGGUGUGUGGCGGCUGUGCGUAAGCUAUGGUUUGUAAUUCUUUUAGUAACCAUGGUGACAGACUAUGGUGCACACUUGCAAGAGGCCUAGACUGGUACAUUGUUGUCUUGCUUGUUAACACUGUUGUUUUGCUGUGCAGAUGGGACUCUUAACUGUGCCUGCCUGCGUAACCUGUUUGGCCAAUCCUCCUUCCUCUGAACUACCUGUGCAUGGUAACAAACCGGCCAAACAUUGUCCCACGUGGUGCUGUUGCCAUGCUGUGUGCAUGUCCUCUGGGUAACUUAUUCCUCUGCUGAUGCAUUAUGAAACAGCUGCCCAGCUGUUCCUAGAAUGUGUCAGUACAAACAUCGUUAGGAAGUGUGAUCUGUGUGGAUACACACGUGAUCAGUGCAUGGUUGUAUUGUGCAUAAAGCUGCUGUAUGGUCAUAAUUCAAACAAGUUUGUUCUGGCUGGGUCAGAUGGACAAAAUUUGGAUCAGCUCUUAAGGGAGUAAGUAAUCUGUAACACAGUUUGUCUAGCACUGUUCUAAGAAGAAAUCCCUGCCCACACUUCUCAGGACAUCUGCUUGUGCCCAGCUGCCAACAGCCGUGUUCUGAUGUCAGGCUUGUCCUACACAUUUUCUUUAAAAAUUCCUACCACUGCUGACAUUGGUUCAGCUCUAGCAACGGUGAGAGCACUAGUGUAAUCCUGUCUCUGGAUUCUGUCAUAUUACUCUGUGUAAAGCAUAUUAAUAUGCUGCACCCAGUCCACACUUGUGCUCUUGCUGUUACUAUCACCCGUGGACCAUUGGGAAUUGAGUGAACUCAGCUCUGGCAGGAUAUAUUCCACACCUUUAGCCUCAAACGUUUGCCACCGCCAUGGUGAAGAUCUGCAAUAAUGCCAGUUUCAUUAACACAUUCUGUGAUAAUGAAGCUGUGGGCACGUGUAUUGCAGAAAGAAUGAGAAGAGUAAAAUAAUGGGGUGAGGCUAUCGAUCAGUCUUUCAUUAUUAAUCCAGCACAUAAUAAAAUCCUGGUAGGCAUUCACAGGUCUUGAGUAAUGGAAUCCUGCAGCAUUUGCAUUCAUUUUGCAGUCGGUGAUUCUUGUCUGCAUUGUUAACAGUGUAAAUGGGACAUAAAAAUUCUUCAUUGAAUGGAUCACUCCAGAAUGAGGAAGUAAUAUUAAAAAUCGCCAUCUCUUUAAUGUAAAGGAAAUAAAUGCAAAACAAAUUGUACAUGCCUGUUUUCUAGGUCAUAUCAAGUUCACUGUAGUAACAGGAAGUCUCAUCUAAGAUGAAAACUUUCUGAAGCUCCCU